rnacentral:snoRNA from 1 species
GUAAGGUUGAUGAAAGAAAUCAUUCGGAUUCCCACUGAGAAUACUGUGAUUACUAUAACCAGCUACUUUUGACUUAC